AAUUUAUAGACGAAGAGGCGAGAGAACAGGCUCAUUGACCCUCUGGCAACCAUCUGCAUAGAAAGGUGCCACGUCCUGCCCAACAAAGGGAAAAUAUAAAUU
rnacentral:ncRNA from 1 species